AAAAUCUAAUCUUUAUAUCCCCAUCUCAGCAUUUUAGCAGGUUUACGAAAUCUCCACGAGAUUUGAGCCUACGAACGGUUAGUUAACAGUCGACCAUGGCGUGGGAAGUAAGAAGAGGGAGAGAGGUCUCACAUGAGAGUAAGAGCCUUGUUUGGUAGCCAAGGAUGACUUGCCUGCUCUACCUAGAGAGACGAAUUCCAAUCUGUGUUCUGAGUGAGGAAACUCCAGUUUGGCUAGGCAGGCUUCCUGGCUAAGUUGACCGGCACUUCUUCCUCAUGCCAGGCCAAAAUUGGGGAAAUUAGGACUCUCUCAUAAAAAAAGACCACUCAAUAUACGUACCAUGGAAGAAGAAUUAGUCCUAAAAAUGGGUGAUUGACACGCCUACGCCAGAAAGUCGGAGACCCCAUUAAAGCCAGGUGGGCCCCAUUCUUGUCAACAGAAGCAACGGCUGGAUUUCCUCCCUUAUAUAAAUCUAUUUGGCGGGAGAUGUCGUUUCUGUAAUUUAAGGAACUCCAAUCGGAUUGGUGCUCCCCACUCGCCCCCAAAACAAUAUCAUUACCUCAUGUAGAACAAAUGGCUGAAUGAAUUAAAGACAAAAUCAAGCAAAAGAAAACUAAGGGACGCAAUGGAAAUUUUCAAAUUUGGCGUUAGAGCUCAAAUUUGGGCUCAUGAUACCUUUCCAGAAAAAGAACGACUGCCCGGUUCAAAUUUACAACUUUGACUUGAUGUACAACAUGUUUUAGCCAUUCGAGGUCAUUUAGGUUUCCCAAAAAGCAAUUUAAUUUCUGUAAUAAAAAUUAGACUUUGUUUCACGUUGGAUUAUUGUCAUUGUGUGUUGGCCAACAGAACAACACCGACCCGGAAUUUGAAUUUCAAUGUACGAAUUUACAUUGCUUUCUGGGGGGUUUAGUUUUACUUAAAUUUGAAUGUUGAAGUAACAUAUAUAUCUUCAAAAGCAUCUAACUUGGUUUCUUUUGAUUGAUUUUCGGUGCAGAGCCCCGAUGGGUUAACUGCGGUAUCAGCCGUCGGACAGGAGACACUUCGAUUAUGGGAGAUCUUCGGACCACCAAGCAUUGACAAAAUCUCUCCUCCGGAUACUCUCUUAUACGUCAAGGUGGAUACAAGAUGUAGUUAGUUUAUAGAGAGAAGAAAAUGUACAUGAACAGCUCUAUAUAUUGUUGGAAACCACAGAGAAAUAUACAUGUCAUAUGCCUAAGUUCUAUCUGCUCA